GGUACUGUAGCUUAGGGUUAAAGCACCUGUCUCGUAAACAAGAGAUCCGCAGUUCAAAUCUGGGCAAUGCCU
rnacentral:tRNA from 1 species